UGUGACCUCAACAUACAUGUUC
rnacentral:miRNA from 1 species